UCAAACAAAUAUUCCAUCAACAUUCAUAUCCUGCAUGACAACGUUUACAACUUUUGAACACUUUACGACAUAACACGGCAGAAGUUGAAAUGGAAAACCGGAGGAGUGCAGGGUCAUGUAAGAAUACACAAACAAAAAUGGAAGGAAGUACUUCAACAGCUACAGCAAUACACUAUGAAAUAUCUCAUCCUGGCACUUUGGAAUGUUUGAAUGUGGAAGGCCUUGAAAUUGGGAUGCAGAAGACCAGGGAAUGUCACAGAAAUAAAAAUAAAUAAAUAUUUG